UACGAGGGGGGCAAGCGUUGUUCGGAAUUAUUGGGCGUAAAGGGCGCGUAGGCGGUGCGGUAAGUCACCUGUGAAACCUCUAGGCUUAACCUAGAGCCUGCAGGCGAAACUGCCGUGCUGGAGUGUGGGAGAGGUGCGUGGAAUUCCUGGUGUAGCGGUGAAAUGCGCAGAUAUCAGGAAGAACACCAAUGGCGAAGGCAGUUCUCUGGGACGGUACUGACGCUGAGACGCGAAAGCGUGGGGAGCGAACAGG
rnacentral:rRNA from 1 species